rnacentral:rRNA from 1 species
AUUGAACGCUGGCGGCAUGCUUUACACAUGCAAGUCGAACGGUAACAGGCCGCAAGGUGCUGACGAGUGGCGAACGGGUGAGUAAUGCAUCGGAACGUGCCCAGUCGUGGGGGAUAACGCAGCGAAAGCUGCGCUAAUACCGCAUACGAUCUAUGGAUGAAAGCGGGGGACCGAAAGGCCUCGCGCGGUUGGAGCGGCCGAUGUCAGAUUAGGUAGGUGGUGAGGUAAAGGCUCACCAAGCCAACGAUCUGUAGCUGGUCUGAGAGGACGACCAACCACACUGGGACUGAGACACGGCCCAGACUCCUACGGGAGGCAGCAGUGGGGAAUUUUGGACAAUGGGCGCAAGCCUGAUCCAGCAAUGCCGCGUGCAGGAAGAAGGCCUUCGGGUUGUAAACUGCUUUUGUACGGAACGAAACGGUCCGGGUUAAUACCCUGGGCUAAUGACGGUACCGUAAGAAUAAGCACCGGCUAACUACGUGCCAGCAGCCGCCGUAAAAC